rnacentral:piRNA from 1 species
UGAUUGGUGUUGAUGAGUUUACCAUAGA